GGACGGGUACCCAAGAAAGGAGUAGCAAGUACAAAGGCCUGGAGGGGAAGGAACAUUCCGGGAUCUGAGCACCUGUCCCUGACUCUGGGCCCUGGAGGGCACCCUGGCAGGGGAGAAAGAUCUCAGCAGCAGCAGGGCAAUCAUCAGGGUAGGAUCCCUACAGGAGCGACAAGGGAAGGGAACACGAAAGGAGGAGUGGGCUGGGAUGACCACAGGACCACACCCUUGGGCGCUGGAAGUGGGGAUUCAAUCUCGGGGCGUGAUGUGGCUUGUCUCCGAGGUCUGAAGCAACCGGCCCCAGAGAAUUUCAGGAACUGUCAGUCUGCUUUUCCCUUUUUGGCUGUCAUGGCUGUUUUGGUUUAUUUUAAGUGAUCUUUACACACAACAUGGGGCUUGAACUCACGACCCUCAGAUCAAGAGUUGCCUGCUCUCAAGAUGUCCAUCGACAGAUGAAUGGAUAAAGAAGAUGUGGUAUAUAUAUACAAUGGAAUAUUAUGCAGCCAUCAAAAGGAAUGAGAUCUUGCCAUUUGCAACGACGUGGAUGGAACUGGAGGGUGUUAUGCUGAGCGAAAUAAGUCAAACAGAGAAAGACAUGUAUCAUAUGACCUCACUGAUAUGAGGAAUUCUUAAUCUCAGGAAAC